CCUACGGGGGGCAGCAGUGAGGAAUAUUGGUCAAUGGGCGCGAGCCUGAACCAGCCAAGUAGCGUGAAGGAUGACUGCCCUACGGGUUGUAAACUUCUUUUAUAAAGGAAUAAAGUGAGGCACGUGUGCCUUUUUGUAUGUACUUUAUGAAUAAGGAUCGGCUAACUCCGUGCCAGCAGCCGCGGUAAUACGGAGGAUCCGAGCGUUGUCCGGAUUUAUUGGGUUUAAAGGGAGCGUAGAUGGGUUGUUAAGUCAGUUGUGAAAGUUUGCGGCUCAACCGUAAAAUUGCAAUUGAUACUGGCGGUCUUGAUAACAGUUGAGGUAGGCGGAAUUCGUGGUGUAGCGGUGAAAUGCUUAGAUAUCACGAAGAACUCCGAUUGCGAAGGCAGCUUACUAACCUGCCACUGACAUUGAUGCUCGAAAGUGUGGGUAUCAAACAGGAUUAGAUACCCCUGUAGUC
rnacentral:rRNA from 1 species